rnacentral:rRNA from 1 species
CCUACGGGGGGCAGCAGUGAGGAAUAUUGGUCAAUGGACGAGAGUCUGACCCAGCCAAGUAGCGUGAGGGAUGACUGCCCUAUGGGUUGUAAACUUCUUUUAUAUGGGAAUAAAACGUUUCACGUGUGGGAUUUUGUAUGUACCAUAUGAAUAAGGAUCGGCUAAAUCCGUGCCAGGAGCCGCGGUACUACGGAGGAUCCGAGCGGUAUCCGGAUUUAUUUGGUUUAAAGGGAGCGUAGGUGGAUUUUUAAUUCAGUUGUGAAAGUCUGCGGCUCAAGCGUAAAAUUGCAGUUGAAUCUGGCAGUCUUGAGUACAGUAGAGGUAGGCGGAAUUCGUGGUGUAGCGGUGAAAUGCUUAGAUAUCACGAAGAACUCCGAUUGCGAAGGCAGUUCACUGGACUGCAACUGACGCUGAGGCUCGAAAGUGUGGGGAUCAAACAGGAUUAGAUACCCGAGUAGUC